rnacentral:rRNA from 1 species
AGCGAACGCUGGCGGCAGGCCUAACACAUGCAAGUCGAACGAACCUUUCGGGGUUAGUGGCGGACGGGUGAGUAACACGUGGGAACGUGCCUUUAGGUUCGGAAUAACUCAGGGAAACUUGUGCUAAUACCGAAUGUGCCCUUCGGGGGAAAGAUUUAUCGCCUUUAGAGCGGCCCGCGGCUGUUUAGCUAGUUGGUUGAGGUAAUGGCUCACCACGGCGACGAUCAGUAGCUGGUCUGAGAGGAUGAUCCGCCACAUUGGGACUGAGACACGGCCCAAACUCCUACGGGAGGCAGCAGUGGGGAAUCUUGCGCAAUGGGCGAAAGCCUGACGCAGCCAUGCCGCGUGAAUGAUGAAGGUCUUAGGAUUGUAAAAUUCUUUCACCGGGGACGAUAAUGACGGUACCCGGAGAAGAAGCCCCGGCUAACUUCGUG